CCUACGGGUGGCAGCAGUGAGGAAUAUUGGUCAAUGGGCGGGAGCCUGAACCAGCCAAGUCGCGUGAGGGACGACGGUCCUAUGGAUUGUAAACCUCUUUUGUCGGGGAACAAAGGGGACCACGGGUGGGCGGAUGAGUGUACCCGAAGAAAAAGGAUCGGAUAACUCCGUGCCAGCAGCCGCGGUAAUACGGAGGAUGCGAGCGUUAUCCGGAUGGAUUGGGUUGAAAGGGUGCGAAGGCGGACCGUCAAGUCAGCGGUAAAACUGCGGUGCUCAACGCCGUACAGCCGUUGAAACUGGCAGUCUUGAGUGGGCGAGCCGUCUGCGGACUGCGUGGUGUAGCGGUGACAUGCCUAGAUCUCACGCAGAACUCCGAUUGCGAAGGCAGCCUACCGGCGCCCGCCUGACGCUGAGGCACGAAAGCGUGGGUAUCGAACAGGAUUAGAUACCCGUGUAGUC
rnacentral:rRNA from 1 species